CGCUCUACAAAGCUUGUCUAGUACAACUCUAAUAAAGAAUGUAGAAGAAAGAAACUGGAAGAACAGAAAAAUGUUUAUAAAUUUAAAAUAGAAGGGGAGUAUGAAUUUUGACAUGAACUUGGAGGAGUAAACUAGAAAAUAAUAAAAACACUGUUAGGCCCUCCUUGGGGAAACCGCACCUCUGUCGGCUCCAACUUGUCGUCAAAUUCCGCUAAUGAAACCCUAAUUUAUACCACCCCCACUAUAAUCGAUAUUCGAUACAAACGAAGAAAAACUCAUAUCCAAUUGAUUUAAAGUCCUUCAAUUAAUUGCAAUUAGCCACCAGAUUCUGCAGAAUUUGUUCUAGCCAUGGAUGCUCAGAGAGCUUUGUUGGAUGAACUGAUGGGCUCAGCUCGGAAUUUAACUGAAGAUGAGAGGAGAGGGUUCAAGGAAGUCAAAUGGGACGACAAGGAAGUUUGUGCAUACUAUAUGGUUCGAUUUUGCCCCCACGAUCUCUUCGUCAAUACACGUAGUGAUUUAGGACCCUGCCCUAAAAUUCAUGAAGCAAAGUUGAAGGAAAGUUUUGAGAACUCUCCAAGACACGAUUCUUAUGUUCCCAAGUUUGAAGCAGAACUAGCCCAUUUCUGUGAGAAGUUGGUGAUGGACUUGGAUAAGAAAGUGAGGCGUGGUAGAGAACGCCUUGCUCAGGAGGUUGAAGUUCCCCCACCUCCUCCAAUAUCAGCAGAAAAAUCUGAGCAGUUAUCUGUCCUGGAAGAGAAAAUCAAAAACUUGCUAGAACAAGUGGAGUCUCUCGGUGAAGCUGGGAAAGUUGAUGAAGCUGAAGCUCUUAUGAGAAAGGUGGAAAUGCUAAACAUUGAAAAGACUGCCUUGACUCAACAAUCCCAGCAGAACAGUGCCCUAAUGAUUGCUCAAGAGAAAAAGAUGGCUUUGUGCGAGACAUGUGGUUCCUUUCUUGUCGCAAAUGAUGCUGCAGAGAGGACUCAAUCUCACGUCACUGGUAAGCAGCAUGUUGGAUAUGGAAUGGUUCGAGAUUUCUUAUCCGAAUACAAGGCUGCUAAAGAGAAGUCAAGAGAAGAGGAAAGGUUGGCCAGGGAGAAAGAAGCGGAAGAAAGGAAAAAGCUGAGGGAGAAAGAAUAUGACAGCAAACGACGAAGAAGUGACUCAUCUGACAGGGACAAGCACAAAGAUCGAGAUCAUGACAGAGACCGGAGUCGCUACCGAGGAAGAGGUCGUGACUUUGACAGGUCCAUUGACAGAAAUGGCAGAGGAAGCCGUGAUUUUGAUAGGGGGUCAGAUUGGAAACAUGGGACUUCCAGAAAUGGGAGAAACAGAAGCAGGGAGAGAUACCGGGAACGUGAUAGAAGCAGGUCGCGCUCGCCUAUUAGACAUGGUUCCAAGAGGUCCAGGAGUCCAAUUCACAAGUAUUAGAAGAUUAUAGAACGUAGAUGUCUGAACUUUGAAAUUUGAAGAGAGGUUCUGAUCCCCGCUCUUCUGGGGAUCCCCAUGAUAGGAGCAGGUCACUCUCUCCUAUUAGACAUGGUUUCAAGAGGUCCAGGAGUUCAGUUCACAAGUAAUAGAGGAUUAUAGAACGUAGAUGUCUUAACUUUGAAAUUUGAAGAGCUGUUUUGAGACUAUAUCACCUCCCUAUCAUCAUAUAAUUAAAGGGAGGGUUGAGUUAAAAAAACAGAUUCAUUAGUUAUGCAUGGAUAAUGCUGCUAGAGGGAGAUCGUUGGAUGGUUAUUCCUUAGUGAGAUGGCUCAGGGCAAUUUAGUGUUAAUUGUUAUUGCAUAUUUGGCGUGUCAGUGAGCUCAUGAAUAUGAAAGGCUCCAUGUAAUUUGUCUAUCAUCUCAGAUAGGUAACCUCUAUUCUGACUUACUUACCAUCCCUCUACCUUCUUGUGUGUGGAGCUAAAUUCAUGCAGGCAGCAUUGUGGACAUAAGGCAGCUAAUGAUGGUAAUGUGCGAUCGACAACUGAUCAUUGAAUAGAUCCAAGUAUAGAAAUAAUCCACAUACUAUAAGGAAAUUGCGGCAAAAGCAUGCUAAGAAGGAUAAGAAAAAAGAAAUUCAUGGUUCUAAGAAAAGAGGAUCUAACAGUUCUGCAAGUAAAGCUCCCGCCAAGAGAAGAGUUGUUGAAGUUAUUUUCAAAGAUGAGCUUCCUAAGGGAUUGAGUUACGUUAUAAAGGAAAUUCCACCUCAUCCUCUUAGAUUUGGAAGUUGAUGCAAUUUAAAAUUUAAGGAUCAGCCAAAAAGUUUUAGACUUAUUUGAAAAGACUAUUUUUGGAUGUUAUCUCAACAUCCCUUUUUCAAAUUAUAUUGGACAAAUAACAAAGUGGAAUAUGUAUCUGGGACUGCACUGGACUGGACUGCACUGGAAUCCUACAAGGGAAAGACCGAACACGGUCCAUUCCAAGGAAAAUAUGUAUCUAGGAUAGCACAACAAGAUAGUGGAAGUCUGGAUUGUGGUGUAUUUGUAGCUAUCUAUGCCGAGUAUCUGAGAGAGGAAUUAAGCAUUUCAUCAUCGGGUAUUGAUGCUCAAUACCAUUAUCUGAAAUAUGCAAGUCUUUUGUGCAAGUACGGAUCUGAAAAAGCGGAGAAUGACUACUUUAAUGAGAACUACGAUCCACCAAGGCCAAGGAGCAAGUUCUCACCAAAAGAAAUUGUUCGUGUUUUGCAUAUUCAAUAGUUGUUCAUUUGUUGGCUAGUAGGCUAUUAAAUACGCUCAUGAUGUUAGUAACUUUGAUUAUGUUUGAUGAUGUUAGUAAUGUUUAAAUAAACAUACAUUAUGUAUAUUUGAUGAUAAAAUACUUCUACUUUAUCACCAAUUAUAACGCAUGGCUUAAGCAUUUUAUGA